rnacentral:rRNA from 1 species
GACAGAGGGUGCAAACGUUGUUCGGAAUUACUGGGCGUAAAGGGCGCGUAGGCGGCCUUCUAAGUCGGACGUGAAAUCCCUCGGCUUAACCGAGGAACUGCGUCCGAUACUGAAAGGCUUGAAUCCGGGAGAGGGAUGUGGAAUUCCAGGUGUAGCGGUGAAAUGCGUAGAUAUCUGGAGGAACACCGGUGGCGAAGGCGGCAUCCUGGACCGGUAUUGACGCUGAGGCGCGAAAGCUAGGGGAGCAAACGGG